CUGGCUCAGGAUGAACGCUAGCGACAGGCCUAACACAUGCAAGUCGAGGGGCAGCACAAGGAGCAAUCUGAGGUGGCGACCGGCGCACGGGUGAGUAACACGUAUGCAACCUGCCUGUAAGCGGGGAAUAACCCGUUGAAAGACGGACUAAUACCGCAUAAUACUAAAUUACUGCAUGGUAAUUUAUUUAAACAUUUAUGGCUUACAGAUGGGCAUGCGCAUGAUUAGCUAGUUGGAGAGGUAACGGCUCCCCAAGGCAACGAUCAUUAGGGGUUCUGAGAGGAAGGUCCCCCACACUGGUACUGAGACACGGACCAGACUCCUACGGGAGGCAGCAGUGAGGAAUAUUGGUCAAUGGACGAGAGUCUGAACCAGCCAAGUCGCGUGCAGGAAGAAUGUCCUAUGGAUUGUAAACUGCUUUUGCAGGGGAAUAAAGUGCAUCACGUGUGAUGUUUUGUAUGUACUCUGCGAAUAAGGAUCGGCUAACUCCGUGCCAGCCGCCGC
rnacentral:rRNA from 1 species